UACGUAGGGUGCGAGCGUUGUCCGGAUUUAUUGGGCGUAAAGGGCGUGUAGGCGGCCAGGUAGGUCUGCUGUGAAAACUCGAGGCUCAACCUCGAGACGUCGGCGGAAACCAUCUGGCUAGAGUCCGGAAGAGGAGAGUGGAAUUCCUAGUGUAGCGGUGAAAUGCGCAGAUAUCAGGAAGAACACCCGUGGCGAAGGCGGCUCUCUGGGACGGUACUGACGCUGAGACGCGAAAGCGUGGGGAGCGAACAGG
rnacentral:rRNA from 1 species